GGGCUACACACGUGCUACAUUGGCGCAUACAAAGAGAAGCGACCUCGCGAGAGCAAGCGGACCUCAUAAAGUGCGUCGUAGUCUGGAUUGGAGGCUGCAACUCGACUCCAUGAAGUCGGAAUCGCUAGUAAUCGUGGAUCAGAAUGCCACGGUGAAUACGUUCCCGGGCCUUGUACAUACCGCACGUCACCCCACGGGAGUGGGUUGCGAAAGAAGUAGGUAGCUUAACUUUCGGGAGUGCG
rnacentral:rRNA from 1 species